rnacentral:rRNA from 1 species
UACAGGGGGUGCAAACGUUGCUCGGAAUCAUUGGGCGUAAAGCGCACGUAGGCGGUUCGUUAUGUCGGAUGUGAAAGCCCCUGGCUUAACCGAGGAAGUGCAUCCGAAACUGGCGAGCUAGAGUACGAAAGAGGAUCGCGGAAUUCCCGGUGUAGAGGUGAAAUUCGUAGAUAUCGGGAGGAACACCGGUGGCGAAGGCGGCGAUCUGGGUCGAUACUGACGCUGAGGUGCGAAAGCGUGGGGAGCAAACAGG